GAGCCCCGAGGGGUGGGGCGGAGUCCGGUCCUUGCCAAUCAGAGCCUUCCAUGUGCGGCUUCCUGCGGCCAGAGCGUGGCUGCCUCUGAUUGGUCAUUGGUAGGAAGAGUCGGCCAAUCAUUUUUAAUAGCUAGUUUAAUCUGCCUGCUUUUAUUUUUUUAUUUAAAUUAAGUACUCGGAAAUGUUUGACUCCGCGGCCAUGUGAUUCACCCACGAAUGAGAUCCGUGUCUAAAGCGAUAAAAGUCUCCACAUGGCCGGAUCAAUCCAAACCAUUUCCGGGGCGCCCAGAAUGUUUGCCCAGAGACAGUUACUACGGCAACGUUUACUUCCGGCAGGUAAAAGAUUAUUCCUGAUUAUCCACUACAUUACCACCUCACUGCAAAUUUAUCAUGACUUCUCUCUGUUCUGAUCUGUCCCACAAAGCCCUCAGUGCACGUUCAGAUGUCCAAAUGGUGAAUCUUUGUAAUGCUCCCAAUGAAGAUACACAAAUAAGAAUCGUUCAGCAACAUUUAUCAGUGCCAGACAAGGAAAUCCUGCCUCCUCAAGUCAGAGACAUCAUGAGUAAAACAUGAGGCCAUUACAACUAGCAAUCUUGGCCACUGAGCUUGUGUAUGUGGAAUAUAUAGAAAUCAGCAUCAAUGUCUUAAUGAAUAUUUGGAAACACUUUCUAUUCAGGAACUAUGGCUAUUAGUUCUUACACGUUGGAUCAAAGACUAUAGCUGGAGAAUAGACUCAAAAAAGAGCAUCAAAAGAAAAGAAGUAUCUUCAGGUUUUCAGGCUUCUCACAAAAGGAUAAAAGGCUGCGUGGCAGAUGCUUUGUGCUUACUAGGUGCUUCUUGUUGUGGGCUGGCUGACAAUGAGAUCCUGCACCUUUUGAACAUUCUGGGCUGUGCAGAUGAAUAUAAAGUAACUCUAUGUCACUGGGCAGCAUUUCAUAAUUCUGCCUCAAAGUAGAUCCAGGAAAAACCUGAUGGCCUAUUGCACUUAAGUCACAGGCCUUACAAGAAGCCAGAGAGCAUUAGCUGCUUGACAAGUAAGAUCAGGUGUAAUAAGAUGUAGUGGGCAAAUUGUUCAAGAAAAAACAGACUGCAUCCAGGGAAUCUGAGUUUCUCAAACUGUGAUGUUUGAUGUUUUUUUAAAGCUUUGAACUGUCAUACAAUACUUUUAUAGUAAGUGCUUUCCCUAGAUGUUGUCACUUGAAAAUCAUUUAAAACAUGAAUGUACCAAUUUUAGUUUAUGAUUUACUUCAGCUAGAACUUCUGUGUUUUGGCUGAAAUGCCUGUCUUUAAUUUCCCUACCUUUUUUGGGAUCUGCAAGCUGGAGGAGGCCAAACUGGCCAUAUGUACUAAAGGGAUGCAAUGUUUACAGGGCAAGAUCAGGUUGGAGUUUCAGCAGAAUGUGUUGUUGCUUAAACAGGAUCAGAGUCUGCAAAUCUUAUUUAGGCAAAACUCCUUCAACCUUCUCCUUUUGGGAUGGUCAGAGCCAGUCCUGAGGCUCGUACUCAGGACUCUCUCAACACAAUGAUUCCUGGAGUUCCUGCUGGGGCUUGGCAAAUCUGCAGUGCUUUAAAGGCAGGCCAAUCCCUUCAAGGUACAACUGAGUGUUAUAUAAUCACUUGCUUUUAAAUUACUGUAAACCAGUCAGCACAGGUGCAUUUGAAAAUGCUAACUAAAUGGAACAAGAGUGUUAUCUUGAAAGAAUCCUUAAACUAAAAAAUGAAGUUGUAUAUAUUUGACUGUAUCCUCAGAAGUAGUCCGUGUAGAAAAGGGGAAGAAUAAUAGAAAAGUGGCACUGCAAAGGAAAAGGGUACUGCAACUGCGGGAUUAUGCACAUAUCUCUAGUGUAAAAGACUAAUAAAGGGUUAAAAUGUGAUUAUUUUUGUAACUAGGUAUGCUCACGCCCAUCAAAGAAAGCACCCUAAAUUCUUUUCAGAACUCCCUGAACAAAAAGACACAUUUACAUUGAAUCUUUACUCACUACUUCCAACAGCAAAGCAAUUUUUGGAGAGUGUAUCAAGAGUUACCAUGGCAUAUGACAAUGAGUGGCAACUGGAAAGAUUUGUGUGACUUUCUCUCAAAUCUUAGGUAAUCUUUGUGACAUUACACUCCAUAUUCUUUAUGGAAAUAUGCUUAUGAUAUGGAUAUGACAUAACUGAGAUGUACUUUAUGCAAGAUGACUCAUGUAAGGAAUCAUUGGAAAGGUUAUGAUUUACUGAAUGUGUUUAUCCAAUUUGUAUGCAUAUAUCAUUUUUUAUCUGAAGAUGGGAAUAUUGACCAAGUCUGUAUUUUAAAUGUGCUACCUUGGAUGAGGCCAAACAAUGUUAGUGUCUUAUUGAAAAAAUGCACAUAAGCAUAAGGAUUACCCCAGGAACUGUGUGCAAUAGAAACCUCUCAGAAAUAGCUCUAUACAAUGGCUCUAUACCCAGGUCACAGCAAAAAAGCUUUCCAGCAAGUGGAGGGAAGAUAUAAAAGAGGGACAAUGACAACAUGAGGAGUCCUCACUCUCCCUACAACAACACACCUGAAAACACCGGGGGAACAAAAACUGAACUGUGAGAAGUGGUGGUCCCACGCUAAGAUCUUUAGCCUGUGUAUGAAAACCUGGGAAAGUCAAGGCACAACAGUGGUUUCCCUUCAGUGCUCUCUGAGCAGCGCUGUAGCUGCUGGUGCUGUAACUCUGCUAGUGUAGACAUACCCAUAUAGCAAAGAAUCUUUCCAGGAAGGAACUAUACCAUCAGGGUGAGACACUGCUUGAUUCAAAUCCUGACUAGUUUAUAGAACUCAAAUUGUGAUUUUACUUUUAUUUCUUGGGUAAUCAACUUUGAUCUGUAUAUUUACCACUUAUCAUCACUUAAAAUCUGUCUUUCUGUAGGUAAUAAAUCUGUUUUAUAUUUUACCUAAAACAGAGUGUUUUGCUUGGGGAAUCUGCUCAGGAACAAAA